AACCUGGGCAACAAGAGCAAAACUCUGUCUCCAAAAAAGAGAGAAGAAAAAGCAUGCAUAUGGCUGCUAGCAUGUGGGUCCUUACUGUAUCAGAGCCUCCUGGAUGGGGUGGAUUGCCGUCCAUCAUGAAGAGGCAAAGAGAAUCCAGGAGUGAAGAUUGCCAUGCUGUAAAGGAGCAAACAAUAAAGAACCAGAAGCACAAGAUAAUGACUGUCAAAGUCAUCCCGCUGGAAAAAAACAAUCGAACAAAAAACCUAACGAAACUCAGUUUUGGAGUGGUGAUGUGAACACAGCCUGCUGCAGAUAGAUGCCUUUGUCAAGAACAGAGCUGGAUCCCAGCCAAAGCCUCUUCCAUCCCUGCUGGUCCUGUUCAUGCAUCCAGAGACCGACACCUGCCGCAAAGACAACGGGAAAGGAAGGCCUUAUUCGUUCCUGGGUGCUGCCAGAAAAGACUCUUGUCUGUUGGACCAGAGGCAGGAAGCAGCCGGAAUGGCUUGCACUCAUCGGGGGCCUGCGAGGGAGACCCCACCUGGAAGGAAAACUCAGGCUGACAGGGCAGAGCUGAGAACUGCAAAGAACCUGAUCUUGGUCCUGAUGAUUUUCUGAGACCAGUUCAAGUCUUGCCUCUCUUUAGCCUUCCUGCUGGGCCUCUCUGUUACAGGGCCUACUACCUUACCUUGAGUGUAGAAGUUGGUUAGAGUGCUGGUUUCUGUUAUUUGCAACUAAAUGAGCCCUAAUCGCUACCCAUUAUAUAACACUCAGGGAAUUACAGAAACACCUUA